rnacentral:rRNA from 1 species
AACGAACGCUGGCGGCAUGCCUAACACAUGCAAGUCGAACGAGACCUUCGGGUCUAGUGGCGCACGGGUGCGUAACGCGUGGGAACCUGCCCUUAGGCUCGGAAUAACUCCCCGAAAGGGGUGCUAAUACCGGAUAAUUUCUUCGGACCAAAGAUUUAUCGCCUUUGGAUGGGCCCGCGUUGGAUUAGCUAGUUGGUAGGGUAAAAGCCUACCAAGGCGACGAUCCAUAGCUGGUCUGAGAGGAUGAUCAGCCACACUGGGACUGAGACACGGCCCAGACUCCUACGGGAGGCAGAAGUGGGGAAUAUUGGACAAUGGGCGAAAGCCUGAUCCAGCAAUGCCGCGUGAGUGAUGAAGGCCUUAGGGUUGUAAAGCUCUUUUACCCGGGAUGAUAAUGACAGUACCGGGAGAAUAAGCUCCGGCUAACUCCGUG